rnacentral:rRNA from 1 species
GAUGAACGCUAGCUACAGGCUUAACACAUGCAAGUCGAGGGGAAACGAUAUUGGAAGCUUGCUUCCGAUAGGCGUCGACCGGCGCACGGGUGAGUAACGCGUAUCCAACCUGCCCAUCACUUGGGGAUAACCUUGCGAAAGUAAGACUAAUACCCAAUGACGUCUCUAGAAGACAUCUGAAAGAGAUUAAAGAUUUAUCGGUGAUGGAUGGGGAUGCGUCUGAUUAGCUUGUUGGCGGGGUAACAGCCCACCAAGGCGACGAUCAGUAGGGGUUCGGAGGGGAAGGUCCCCCACAGUGGAACUGAGACACGGUCCAAACUCCUACGGGAGGCAGCAGUGAGGAAUAUUGGUCAAUGGACGGGAGUCUGAACCAGCCAAGUAGCGUGCAGGAAGACGGCCCUAUGGGUUGUAAACUGCUUUUAUAAGGGAAUAAAGUGAGUCUCGUGAGACUUUUUGCAUGUACCUUAUGAAUAAGGACCGGCUAAUUCCGUGCCAGCCGCCGCAGUAAGAC